AUUGAACGCUGGCGGCAGGCCUAACACAUGCAAGUCGAGCGAGCGGCGGACGGGUGAGUACUGUAUGGGGACCGCCCGAUAGAGGGGGAUAACUACUGGAAACGGUGGGUAAUACCGCAUAAUGUCGGAUAACCCAUAUGGGAUUGGCUAGUAGGUAAGGUAAUGGCUCACCUAGGCGACGAUCCCUAGCUGGUCUGAGAGGAUGAUCAGCCACACUGGGACUGAGACACGGCCCAGACUCCUACGGAGGCAGCAGUGGGGAAUAUUGCACAAUGGGCGAAAGCCUGAUGCAGCCAUGCCGCGUGUAUGAAGAAGGCCCUAGGGUUGUAAAGUACUUUCAGUCGGGAGGCGUUACCGACAGAAGAAGCACCGGCUAACUCCGUGCCAGCAGCCGCGGUAAUAC
rnacentral:rRNA from 1 species